GCCCGGCUAGCUCAAUCGGCAGAGCGUGAGACUCUUAAUCUCAAGGUUGCGGGUUCGACCCCCGCGUUGGGCU